GACAGCUGGAAUCGCACCCACAAAUACCUCUUCUUCCUGCUUCAUUUUCUUCCAACAUCAAAAUAUGGCUUAAAUUCCCUUCCCUUUUCCCUUCAGCGAGAAAUCUGACACCCAUCACCCAAAAAUCACAUCGCCCCUCUCCUUGCGUUGCCGUUUUCCUCAUCUCCCGGUGGUUCGUUCUCUCCACUGGAUUCCAUUUGGGAACAAGAAACACAUGUUGCAUGUCCCGAUUCAUUACUGUUUUGACGAGGAUUUUCGAAAUUUACCCCAAUUGUAUUCUCUCUCUUUCUGCACUUUGGAAAGGCUUGAAAUAGAUUCUGUAAAUCAGUGUUGCUGGAGGAGUUGUUUCGCAGCCUCAGGAAGAACAGAGCAAUGUGUUUGAAAUAAGGUUGACUCAUAAUCUUUAGGCUUCAAACAGAUUCUGUAAAUCAGUGUUGGUGGAGGAGUUGUUCCACAGCCGCAGGAAGAACAGAGCAACGUGUUUGAAAUAAGAUAAUGGACCGUAGAGAAGACUUUGGAGUUUUUUGGUGAUUUUAAGGCUAAAAGAGAUCAAACCUGGGAAAAACUGAAGUCAAGAAGUAUUCCAAUGAUCAUCAGAUGCAAAUUUGUUUAAUCCGUAAAUUAAUGGCUGCUGUUUGGAAAUUGUAAUUGGAGCUAGAAGGUGCUACACAUAAUUGUCAUUUUCGUUGGGUGGUCAGAAAUUCAUCAGAAUGAACUGUGUGUUGUGCCACAUACAUACGGAAAGCUCUAGAUGUCUAGUUUCGACAAAAUUUUACAGAUCAUGAUUCUGAUACUUCUAGAAGAAAUUAUACCUGUUUUAGUGCGAGAAUGUUAGUUUAGGAAUUCAUGCGCGAUUCCGAAUAAGUGAAGUUCAGGUUGAGUUUGGAAACUGAAGUUUAAUAAUAUUAGGACUCCUAUUUGGGCUGGAAUUGAACAAUGCAGGAAGGAUGGACCAAAACUCUAUUUUUUUUUUCCUUCGAUGUUUAUUUAAAGGAGUAGGUGCAGCAGCGUGGAAGGGAGAACUCACGUUAUCAGAUUGUUUGAGCCGAUUGACCGAAGGAGGAAGCCAGACACCAAGGGUUCUCUAAGGGUUUUUCAAUAUCUUUUUCAGACUUUGUAUUUAUGAUGUUCAUAACUAUGACUUUCUAUAAUUUGAUGGUGUUGUGAUGUUGCAUCUACUGAUGCUGCAUAUAGAGUCUACUACCAAGGUGACCCCUAGGGUAAAUCUCUAGGGUAAGGCUCAUUGUAAUCUUUAGGGUAAGGGUAUGUAAAUCACGUUUCCCUUGAUUUAAGGGAGGAGACUGAUUGGUGUAAUGUCUUUGUGUAAGGUUUAGAUCAGGUAGGCAACAUGCCUUCUUCUUUCUUGUC